UUGCUAGAUUCUACCACACUGGAGGAAGAAAUAAGAAAACUCAUUCAUUCAUUCAUGUACUCAAUAGCCAUAAACAACUGACCCUCAGAAACUCAAGAUCAACAGUGGAUACUAACAAGCAGAUGGCAAUAUCCGACAUGUGCCAUGUGCAUGGAGUAAUUCACAGAGAGCAGGGUAACAGAAGGAGGUCAGAACUACGUAGGGUACAUAAAGAGGGUUGAGGAGGGACAUGAGGGGGAAGGAGAAUGGGCUUUGUAGCAGGUAUUAGCAGUGCCCUGUGUUAAGCAUGCCACUGAAACACUUACAAAAAUAAAUAGAAUGACUUGCUAACGUUUUCCCGCUAGGGAAAGAGCUAGGAUUAAGCUGCCUUCACAAUAGACAGAAGGGGGAUUCACAACCCAGUGAGACCAGAAAACUCAGGAAAUGUUUCCCACAGUAAAUGUUCCCUGAGCUGGGCUGUGAAGAAUAAGCAAGAAGAAGGAAGGCAAAGAAAAGGGUAAGAAAGCCUAGGUACAAGAACAAGCAUUCAAACACAUAAAGGUCUUAGAAGCCCUUCCAGGAACCGCACUGUUUGGUAUGCAAACUCUUUCAUGGAAGAGAAUAUUUCCCAACUCAUAUGAUGCUGACGUAACCUUGUUACCAAAAUAAAAAAGAACUUACAGGAAAGAGAAUAUUACAGGCUAAUCUUAAGUGUUAAAUCAAGUGUAAAAUCCUAAACCAAAUCUCAGCAAAUUAAACUCAAUAGUACAUAAAAAAAUAAUAUCAUGAAAAAGUGGGGUUUAUUCCUGAAAUACAACAUCGGUUAACAUUUGGAUGAAAAUGAAAAC
rnacentral:lncRNA from 1 species